rnacentral:lncRNA from 1 species
AUAUUGGGAAUCCCUGGCUGGGCUGGAAUUGCCAGAUUUGCUGUGGCUGCCCCUGGAUCCCUGGAAUGUCCAAAUCCAGGUUUGAGGGGAUUGCAGCAGCCUGGGAGAGCAGAAGGAAUUCCUGGCUUGGAAUGGGAUGAGCCUUUCCAGGCUUAGGGGGUGUCCUCAAAGUCCUGAUCCAAAGGAAUUCCAGUGGAAUUUGGAUGUUUGCUCAGCCUGGAAAGUCCCCACUGGGCUCACGCUGGGAAAAUAUUGGAGGCUUGAGGGUGAUUUGAGCUGUGCUGAUGGAUUGGGAAUGGUUGGGAAUUCCCUCUGCUCCAGGUCCUCCUUUUUUAAUGGAAAAUGAUACCAGGAUCCUUUGAGAACAGUGGGAAUGAGGUGGUGUUGGACUGGGAAUGUGGGAGAGUCUGAGAGCACUUUGGGAUGGAUUCCAGCUGCAAUGGGAAGAGGAGCUGGAGCUGGAGAUUUGUGGAGCUGGGAAUGGGAAUCAUCCCCUGGAGAGGGGCUGGGGACAGGGAUGGAGGGACAGACACAGAGAAUGGGACACUGCCAGAGGGCAGGGAUGGGUGGGAUGUUGGGAAUUGGGAAUUCCUGGCUGGAAUGGAAUUGCCAGAGCAGCUGUGGCUGCCCCUGGAUCCCUGGCAGUGCCCAAGGCCAGGCUGGAGCAGCCUGGGGUAGGGAAGGAGUGGAUUCCAUGGUUGGAAGGGGAUGGGCUUUAAGGUUCCUUCCAUCCCAAAACAUCCCAGGGUUCCAUCCCAGGAUCCUUUGGCUCAGCUCCUUCCUGCUUAAAAGUUUCCCACACACAGAGAUUUGGUCAAGUCCUUGCUGGAAAACAGGGAGUUAAACUGUGACCAACAUCAGAACUGGGAUCCUGGAAUGAAUUCCCUCAGUCUGAGAGGUUCUGAGAUCUUCCUGCUUCCUGGAAUGUGUGGGAUUCCUUAAAACUGAAUUAAAAUGAGAUUUUGUUGGGAAACGGGAGGUCCAUGAUGGAGCUGCUAGAAAAUGCAGGAUGGAUUUGCCAGGAAUCAAAUCCUUCUCCCCUCCUGCAGCCAUGAGCUUUCCCCUGAUCCAUCUUCUGCAUCAGGAGCUUUUCCAUGGAAAAUUAAUCAGCAGGAGUGAAGCCCCAGUGAAUUUAGUGGGCAGGGCUGGAUGGGAUAUUGGGAAUUCCUGGCUGGGAUGGAAUUCCCAGAGUCCUGGGUCCCUGGCAGUGCCCAAGGCCCGGCUGGAUUUUGGGGUUGGGAGCGCUGGGCUUUGCUGGGGUGUUGUGGGUUUUCCUGCAGGAAGUUUGGUCGCCGCUCCCAAACUUUAUGAACACCUCCAACAU